rnacentral:rRNA from 1 species
CCUACGGGUGGCAGCAGUGGGGAAUAUUGGGCAAUGGGCGCAAGCCUGACCCAGCAACGCCGCGUGAAGGCAGAAGUAUUUCGGUAUGUAAACUUCUAUCAGCAGGUACGAAAAUGACGGUACCUGACUAAGAAGCACCGGCUAACUACGUGCCAGCAGCCGCGGUAAUACGUAGGGGUCAAGCGUUAUCCGGAUUUACUGGGUGUAAAGGGAGCGUAGGCGGCGAUUCAAGUCAGAAGUGAAAGCCCGGGGCUCAACUCCGGUACUGCUUUUGAAACUGUGUUGCUAGAUUGCAGGAGAGGUAAGUGGAAUUCCUAGUGUAGCGGUGAAAUGCGUAGAUAUUAGGAGGAACACCAGUGGCGAAGGCGGCUUACUGGACUGUAAAUGACGCUGAGGCUCGAAAGCGUGGGGAGCAAACAGGAUUAGAUACCCUAGUAGUC